ACUCUUGACCCCGGUACCCAUAAUGUGUGGAACUCGUGAUCAGAGAAUCCUGAUUCUCGAUCACUGAGUCCCAAAUAUGCAGGAUUCUACACCAGCCAUCAGAUCAGAUAGGAACCUCUAAUGUGUGUGACCCCACAGGUUCGAACCUAAGUCGGUAGCACAGGAAUCAAUUCCUGUACUAAUCGAAGUGACCAUCUAGCAAUAGUACCCGACGUCUGCAU
rnacentral:lncRNA from 1 species